CAAACUUGACGUACGAGAGGAAGUACGUCAAAGUGACGUCACAAUUGCAGUUUGUUGAAAUUCUAAAAAUCGGUGUUCUCACGAUCAGUCUAGUUUGAUCAAAUUUUCUGUAUUAAGAGUUGUCUAACUUGUUUGAACUUAAUCUAAUCCACAAUGAAAAUUGAAAAUGAAAUGAAAAGGCUGGAGUGAGGAGUGCUGAAGGGAGUUGUGACUUUACUUUGUUGUCAAGUACUAAGUAGGGCACCUAUUACCACUGUUCGGGCAUAUCAGGCAGAAAAAAUAGAAAAGAAAGAAUGUAGGCUAGACCUGGACUUUUUCCAUGAAAUGAAAGCCCUAAUAAAAACUAAAUUGUGUACAAGAAGACAUUGGGAAAAAAUACAUCUAUGAGUGAAAGCAUCAACAGUGCGAACAGAUUAAUUGUUGCUUUACGCUAUGUAGGCACAGGGCUCAUUAAAAAGGGUAAGCUUUUCCACGACAAUUGCAUAUAAUUUUUGUAAAUUAGCAAUAAAUUGAAUAGCAAAUGGCAGUUUUCACAUUGUCUAGAAGCUAUGGAUGGAAACAUGGUGAACUUUCAACCUCUCAGAAGGGAUACUAUAGAAAUUAUAAAGGAACUGACGGCCAUUACUUUUUGCUGUAUUAUAUUAUGCAGAUGGUCAAUUUCUUAUUGCAGAUAUAAGAAGAAAUGAUCCAAAUAUAUCAGAUUUGAAUUUCAGAUUUUUUAAUAGCUAUUGGUUAGCAACAUUCGGCUGUGAAUAAGUUUAAAAUGUAAAUUAUUUUAGUGCGUUUUUAGUUAAACCUUAUUGUAUAUUUGAAGAUUUACAAUUAUUAUUACACUGAUAAUUAAUAUAA